UACGGAGGGUGCAAGCGUUAUCCGGAUUCACUGGGUUUAAAGGGUGCGUAGGUGGGCAAGUAAGUCAGUGGUGAAAUCUCCGGGCUUAACCUGGAAACUGCCAUUGAUACUAUUUGUCUUGAAUACUGUGGAGGUCAGCGGAAUAUGUCAUGUAGCGGUGAAAUGCUUAGAUAUGACAUAGAACACCAAUUGCGAAGGCAGCUGGCUACACAAAUAUUGACACUGAGGCACGAAAGCGUGGGGAUCAAACAGG
rnacentral:rRNA from 1 species